CGUAGGGUGCGAGCGUUAAUCGGAAUUACUGGGCGUAAAGCGUGCGCAGGCGGUUUUGUAAGACAGAUGUGAAAUCCCCGGGCUCAACCUGGGGCCUGCAUUUGUGACUGCAAGGCUAGAGUACGGUAGAGGGGGAUGGAAUUCCGCGUGUAGCAGUGAAAUGCGUAGAUAUGCGGAGGAACACCGAUGGCGAAGGCAAUCCCCUGGACCUGUACUGACGCUCAUGCACGAAAGCGUGGGGAGCAAACAGGAUUAGAUACCCUGGUAGUCCACGCCCUAAACGAUGUCAACUGGUUGUUGGGUCUUUACUGACACAGUAACGAAGCUAACGCGUGAAGUUGACCGCCUGGGGAGUACGGCCGCAAGGUUG
rnacentral:rRNA from 1 species